rnacentral:rRNA from 1 species
UACAGAGACUGCAAGCGUUAUUCGGAUUCACUGGGCGUAAAGGGUGCGCAGGCGGCCGUGUGUGUGAGGCGUGAAAGCCCGGGGCUUAACCCCGGAAUUGCACCUCAAACUACAUGGCUGGAGCAUUGGAGAGGGUAGCGGAAUUCACGGUGUAGCAGUGAAAUGCGUAGAUAUCGUGAGGAACACCAGAGGCGAAGGCGGCUACCUGGACAAUUGCUGACGCUCAGGCACGAAAGCGUGGGGAGCAAAAGGG